rnacentral:lncRNA from 1 species
AACCUAAUAAUGUCAAAACCCUAUAUGUAUGCAUGAGAGAAAAGUGAGCACCCAAAGUGAGCAAAAGAACAGAGUGGCACAAUGACAUAGAUCGAGUGGCAUUCGAUAAAGAAUGAUGAAAAUGACGACGAGUAAAGCUAAAGUAAAGUGGGCAAUAAGAACAAGGAUGCUAGAGUUAGCAAAAGUAAAAGAAAUGCAAAGAACAAUGAUUGCUAGAGUUAGCAAGAGUAAUGAGAAUGUAAAGAAUGUGAUUGCAUGAGUUUGCAACAUAAAGUGAUGUAAAGAACACUAGAGCUAGUGUAAAGUUAAGAUUGAACUAUAAUCCUUUGAGUUAAGGAUAUGAUCAUACUUGC